GGUGGUACAACUGUUAAGUGCUCGGCUGCUAACCGAAAGGUUGGUGGUUCCAACCCACCCAGCACCU
rnacentral:tRNA from 1 species